UAUGUGAUCGUCUCUCGCAUAUCAAUAAGCGGAGGAAAAGAAACUAACAAGGAUUCCCUUAGUAACGGCGAGUGAAGCGGGAAGAGCUCAAAUUUGAAAUCUUCAAGGUUUUACCUUGACGAAUUGUAGUUUAAAGAAGUGUUUUCUGUUGAAGUUUUGGUAAAAGUUCUUUGGAAUAGGACAUCAUAGAGGGUGAGAAUCCCGUAUUUGACCAUUAUUUUCAGCUGUGCGAUACACUUUCAAAGAGUCGGAUUGUUUGGGAAUGCAGUCCAAAAUGGGUGGUAAAUUUCAUCUAAAGCUAAAUAUUGGCGAGAGACCGAUAGCGAACAAGUACCGUGAGGGAAAGAUGAAAAGAACUUUGAAAAGAGAGUUAAACAGUACGUGAAAUUGUCAAAAGGGAAGCGUUUGACACCAGUGUUGUUUUCUCGAAAAUCAAUUAAAAAGAGUUAGAUUUUGUUGUGUAUUGACCUUAACAGCUUGCAUUUCAAUUUUCUUGCUUUUUUUAAUGCACUUUUCGUUUAACAAGUCAACAUCAGUUUCUUUUGUUGUAAAAAGGUCAUUGGAAGGUGGCUUUCUUUUCGGAGAAAGUGUUUAUAGCCUUUGACUCCUGCAAUCGGAGAGACUGAGGUCUGCAGCGUAGAUCCUUCGGGGUUAGAUACAUUUGUGCUAAGUUAUAGCUUUUUAUAGACAACUUGUUGACUAUGAUUAGUCUUGUAGCUUACUCGCUUAUGCUAUUUUACCUACGCUUAGGAUGUUGAAGAUGUAGCACAUCAU
rnacentral:rRNA from 1 species